rnacentral:rRNA from 1 species
AACGAACGCUGGCGGCGUGCCUAACACAUGCAAGUCGAACGAGAAAGGGGCUUCGGCCCUGAGUAAAGUGGCGCACGGGUGAGUAACACGUAGGUAACCUGCCCUUAAGAUUGGGAUAACCUGUCGAAAGACGAGCUAAUACUGAAUAAGACCACAGCUUCCUCGGAAGCAGGGGUCAAAGGUAGCCUCUAUUUAUAAGCUAUCACUUAAAGAUGGGCCUGCGUACCAUUAGCAGUUGGUGAGUAACGGCUCACCAAGGCAAAGAUGGUUAGCUGGUCUGAGAGGAUGAUCAGCCACACUGGAACUGAGACACGGUCCAGACUCCUACGGGAGGCAGCAGUGGGGAAUAUUGCGCAAUGGGCGAAAGCCUGACGCAGCAACGCCGCGUGAGUGAUGAAGGCCUCGGUCGUAAGACUC